rnacentral:lncRNA from 1 species
CUGAUACUCUGAAAGUGCUUUCAUCAGCUCAGAGCCAAAUAUCCCCAACUGGAAGGUAGAAGCUGUAGAACAACUGAUAUUAUUCAAGCCUCCAAGACCUAUUGUAUUAGGUCCAAGAUCUCAAGUUUUAUUUCUGGCUGUUCUGCGUCCAUCCCUGGCAAUUCCAGGAGACUCAUCCUGAAACCAGCUGUGGGACCCUGAAAAGUGGGGUGCACCUUGGCGGUGGAUGCUGCUGCGGAGCAGAGCUUUCCCAGAGGAACCAGCCAGAGGAAUGGUCGCAGUGUCCUCCACCCAAUGCUGGUGUGGAGGAUGGCUGCUGCCACCCACGUGCUUCCUGCAGUUGCUGCUUAAGCGUAGUGUUCUGUGCUCUCUGCCUGCAGUCGGAUUUGCCGUUUGCCCUAUGGAUAUCAUGGCCCAAAUCCUGUCCUAACUUAUAACUGUAAGACCAGUGGAGGUGCAUACAUGCACAUGAGAACACAACUAAUAGGAUGCUGAAGUCAUCUCACCAGUUUGAAAAAUCACAUUGAGGACUGAUGCUCGGAAAUGUCAUUUAAGGUCAUGUAAUUCCUGAAUCUGUAAAAUCCUAAUGUGCAGACAGCUUAUUUCCUGGUGCUAUGCUUUUAUAGGUGAAGGGAAUUUCACUUUCUUUAAUUUCAAAUUUUAGAGGCUGUACUACUAGAUCACCUUACUGGAGUUAAAACACUUUUAUAACAGCAUUUUACAAAACACAGCACUUGUCCCAUCCUACCUAGUGGUAAAAGCUUAUCUCCACCAGGAGAUUUUCGUAGAUUGAGAAAUGAAUUAAAAUAAUUUUUGACAUUUGUACAGAGGCUGAACAUUCAGUUUUCAGUUCAGUUUUAUAGAGGAUGGCUUUCAGAUUUUUUUUAAUUUUUUUUUUUACACCCAACUCCUUUAUUUGCUUUGGGUCAAUUGAAAGUUUUGGUUUUGAGUUUUGCAGCUUAUCUGAUGCAAUACAAACAGAAAAUCAAAAUGACAGUGGUGUUUAAGUUUUUUUUUUAUUAUUUAUUAUUA